rnacentral:rRNA from 1 species
AAUGGGGGAUAACUAGUCGAAAGAUUAGCUAAUACCGCAUAUGCCCUGAGGGGGAAAGUGGGGGACCGCAAGGCCUCACGUUGUCGGAGCGGCCGAUAUCAGAUUAGCUAGUUGGUGGGGUAAAGGCCCACCAAGGCGACGAUCUGUAGCUGGUCUGAGAGGACGACCAGCCACACUGGGACUGAGACACGGCCCAGACUCCUACGGGAGGCAGCAGUGGGGAAUUUUGGACAAUGGGGGCAACCCUGAUCCAGCCAUGCCGCGUGAGUGAAGAAGGCCUUCGGGUUGUAAAGCUCUUUCGGACAGAAAGAAAUCGUGCAGAUUAAUACUCUGCAUGGAUGACGGUACUGUAAGAAGAAGCACCGGCUAACUACGUGCCAGCAGCCGCGGUAAUACGUAGGGUGCGAGCGUUAAUCGGAAUUACUGGGCGUAAAGCGUGCGCAGGCGGUUGUGUAAGACAGACGUGAAAUCCCCGGGCUUAACCUGGGAACUGCGUUUGUGACUGCACGGCUAGAGUACGGCAGAGGGGGGUAGAAUUCCA